rnacentral:lncRNA from 1 species
UGAUUCUAAUUCUUGAUUUUCUACAAUAAAUUUCUUUUCACUUUCAAAUAUUGUUGCUUUUACUCUUAUAUCUCUAAUUCCUGCAAAAUCUCUCUGUUUCUCUAUUUUACUCAAUUAUGCCCCCUCCUCCUCUUGCUACAUAUCUCAUCUAUAUUUAAUUAUCACAGUUUCUAUAUAAGAGUUCUGCUUUCUCUAAUUCUUAUUCUCUGAACUUCUAGCUUUUACUUAUUAGUUGUUCAAAUUUCCAAAUUAAUCUAAAAUGAAUUAUUUUAGAUCUAUUAAAG